ensembl:lncRNA
UCUUUCUCUGCGAGGAUGCUACGCUGGAGCUAGAGCUGGAUUUACUUAGAAAACAGACCAUAAAAGAGAAAGUUAACUGCAGACGUUACGGAAGUAGACAAGAACCAUCAGACACAUUUGAAUCACGUAGAAAUCGAUAUUCCGGCUGGUUUUCUGAGGAUUCUCUUCAGCGGGAUUUUCAUCCAUCUGCCACUUUGUGUUGAUGUCCAUCCACGUCCACAUCUCCAUCACACUGGGAUCAGCCAUCACCUCGGACCGUCUCGCCAGACAUUCAUUAUAAGAGGGCGAAAUAGAGGCGACCAUCACACACCUGUGUCUCCCAAUGUCAUGGACAGCUGUGCAAGCUGUGGAUAAGUCCCACAUUAUUUCACCU